ACGUGCCUACGGGAGGCAGCAGUGAGGAAUAUUGGUCAAUGGGCGGGAGCCUGAACCAGCCAAGUCGCGUGAGGGAAGACGGUCCUAUGGAUUGUAAACCUCUUUUGUCGGGGAGCAAAGAGACCACGUGUGGUCAAAAGCGAGAGUACCCGAAGAAAAAGCAUCGGCUAACUCCGUGCCAGCAGCCGCGGUAAUACGGAGGAUGCGAGCGUUAUCCGGAUUUAUUGGGUUUAAAGGGUGCGUAGGCGGGACGGUAAGUCAGCGGGAAAAUUGCGGGGGUCAACCCCGUCGAGCCGUUGAAACUG
rnacentral:rRNA from 1 species